rnacentral:snRNA from 1 species
UGCUUCGGCAACACAUGCAAUAAAAAACAAUGGGAAUGAUACAGAGAAGAUUAGCGUGGUCCCUGCUCAAGGAUGACAUGCAAAUUUGUGAAGCAUUUCACAUUUUU